GACGAUUUUGUUUUUAAGUUGGGGAGAAUGUAAUAACCCGUAUUUUUUUAUAACUUGUUUUGGUGGUUGGUUGUCCGUUUAAAGUUUGGUUUGUGAUGGACUUUGGUUGUGUUUUAACUUCGACUUGUUCUCGUUGUGCUUCCGACUUGUUUUCGGAUUGAUUUAUGUGCGAAUUAGCAUAUGUGGUACCUUGGUUGUGUCAUGUUGAAUGACUUAUGUGUACCCCUUGAACCUUUAAGUAUUUGAUGUUGAAUUGAUUUAUUUCCGGAUCGUUAUCGAAACAAUGUUUGCAUGUUUUCCAAAUCGGCUAUGCUCUAGUAAAACGUCCAUAUCUCCCAAUUUAACCGUCGGAUCGGGCUGCCCUUUGGAUAUGUUGCACCUAAGAGGAUUAUCUUUCAUUCGACCGUUCGGAUCGUCGUUUUGACCUCUUUUCGGGUCAACCGGACCUAUAACCGGACCUGCUGGGUUGAACCGGCCGUAGGUCCGGUCCACUCUGAUUUCUGCAUUGGCAGUGAGUCAACCGGUUCAAUAACCGGUUCUGCUGGACAGAACCGGCCGUAGAACCGGUUCAUUACGGGUUUGCUUAUAAAAACUUCGUUUCUCGACCAAAUCAGCCCCCACUCGUUCCCACAAACCCUAAACUGAUUUCUAAACAUUUAUAGACAAUUCCCAAUCACAUUUUGGUGCCUCAAGACACUUGCCAUUAUUCCACUAUUUUUCUGAGUUUUCCUUGCUCUUUUGGAUUGCUAAGACCCGUCGACUGCUCGUGCUUCGGAGUCGGAUCAGGUUUAGUUGCUUGUCAAGUUUUCACGUGGAUUUGCAAGCAGGUUAUGAUCUGAGAGAGUCUGGUGAUCUCCGCAUUUACUUUUCUUCGGAGGUUCCAUUUAUUUUUGAUAAACUGUAAAACUGUUUUAUUCUUAGACCGCAGUAGUAACUAGACGUCUUUAUUAUUACUGUAUAUUUUGUCGGAUUGGUUCGACUGGUUAUAUUGCUUUGGCAUGAUUAUAAUACUUACAUUGAUUUAUGAUAAAUCUAUAUUAGUCUCGGAA